CCCUUCGGGGUGUGACUGCGUACCUUUUGUAUAAUGGGUCAGCGACUUAUAUUCUGUAGCAAGGUUAACCGUAUAGGGGAGCCGGAGGGAAACCGAGUCUUAAUUGGGCGUUAAGUUGCAGGGUAUAGACCCGAAACCCGGUGAUCUAGCCAUGGGCAGGUUGAAGGUUGGGUAACACUAACUGGAGGACCGAACCGACUAAUGUUGAAAAAUUAGCGGAUGACCUGUGGCUGGGGGUGAAAGGCCAAUCAAACCGGGAGAUAGCUGGUUCUCCCCGAAAGCUAUUUAGGUAGCGCCUCGUGAAUUCAUCUCCGGGGGUAGAGCACUGUUUCGGCUAGGGGGCCAUCCCGGCUUACCAACCCGAUGCAAACUGCGAAUACCGGAGAAUGUUAUCACGGGAGACACACGGCGGGUGCUAACGUCCGUCGUGAAGAGGGAAACAACCCAGACCGCCAGCUAAGGUCCCAAAGUCAUGGUUAAGUGGGAAACGAUGUGGGAAGGCCCAGACAGCCAGGAUGUUGGCUUAGAAGCAGCCAUCAUUUAAAGAAAGCGUAAUAGCUCACUGGUCGAGUCGGCCUGCGCGGAAGAUGUAACGGGGCUAAACCAUGCACCGAAGCUGCGGCAGCGAACGUAUCACCCAAGACAACUUUACGGAGUUGACGAUUGACGGAGCGAAGCGACGUCAAAGCGUUCAUUAAAGUCGAGUUGGCUUAGGGAUACGUUCGUUGGGUAGGGGAGCGUUCUGUAAGCCUGUGAAGGUGUGUCGUGAGGCAUGCUGGAGGUAUCAGAAGUGCGAAUGCUGACAUAAGUAACGAUAAAGCGGGUGAAAAGCCCGCUCGCCGGAAGACCAAGGGUUCCUGUCCAACGUUAAUCGGGGCAGGGUGAGUCGACCCCUAAGGCGAGGCCGAAAGGCGUAGUCGAUGGGAAACGGGUUAAUAUUCCCGUACUUGGUGUUACUGCGAAGGGGGGACGGAGAAGGCUAUGUUGGCCGGGCGACGGUUGUCCCGGUUUAAGCGUGUAGGUGUGUGUUCCAGGUAAAUCCGGUUCACUUUAACACUGAGGCGUGACGACGAGGCACUACGGUGCUGAAGCAACAAAUGCCCUGCUUCCAGGAAAAGCCUCUAAGCAUCAGGUAACAUCAAAUCGUACCCCAAACCGACACAGGUGGUCAGGUAGAGAAUACCAAGGCGCUUGAGAGAACUCGGGUGAAGGAACUA
rnacentral:rRNA from 1 species